rnacentral:tRNA from 1 species
GGGAAUGUGGCUUAGUGGUAGAGUGCUUGCCUAGCAUGCAUGAAGUCCUCAGUCCCA